ACAACAGGGAUUGCCCCAGUAACGGCGAGUGAAGCGGCAACAGCUCAAAUUUGAAAUCUGGCCCCAGGCCCGAGUUGUAAUUUGCAGAGGAUGCUUCUGGCGACGUGCCUUCCGAGUUCCCUGGAACGGGACGCCAAAGAGGGUGAGAGCCCCGUCCGGUCGUGCACCUAGCCUCUGUGAAGCUCCUUCGACGAGUCGAGUAGUUUGGGAAUGCUGCUCUAAAUGGGAGGUAUACGUCUUCUAAAGCUAAAUACCGGCCAGAGACCGAUAGCGCACAAGUAGAGUGAUCGAAAGAUGAAAAGCACUUUGAAAAGAGGGUUAAAUAGUACGUGAAAUUGCUGAAAGGGAAGCGCUUAUGACCAGACUUGGGCCGGUGAAUCAUCCGUCGUUCUCGGCGGUGCACUUUGCCGGCUCAGGCCAGCAUCAGUUCGCGCCGGGGGAUAAAGGCUUCGGGAAAGUAGCUCCCUCGGGAGUGUUAUAGACCGUUGUGUAAUACCCUGGUGCGGACUGAGGUACGCGUUCUGCAAGGAUGCUGGCGUAAUGGUCAUCAGUGACCCGUCUUGAAACACGGACCAAGGAGUCGUCUUCGUAUGCGAGUGUUCGGGUGUAAAACCCCUACGCGUAAUGAAAGUGAACGUAGGAGAGAGCUUCGGCGCAUCUCCGACCGAUCCUGAUGUUCUCGGAUGGAUUUGAGUAAGAGCAUACGGGGCCGGACCCGAAAGAAGGUGAACUAUGCCUGUAUAGGGUGAAGCCAGGGGAAACUCUGGUGGAGGCUCGCAGCGGUUCUGACGUGCAAAUCGAUCGUCAAAUAUGGGCAUGGGGGCGAAAGACUAAUCGAACCUUCUAGUAGCUGGUUUCCGCCGAAGUUUCCCUCAGGAUAGCAGUAUUGAACUCAGUUUUAUGAGGUAAAGCGAAUGAUUAGGGACCCGGGGGCGCUAUAUAGCCUUCAUCCAUUCUCAAACUUUAAAUAUGUAAGAAGCCCUUGUUGCUUAAUUGAACGUGGGCAUUCGAAUGUAUCAAUACUAGUGGGCCAUUUUUGGUAAGCAGAACUGGCGAUGCGGGAUGAACCGAACGCGAGGUUAAGGUGCCAGAGUAGACGCUCAUCAGACACCACAAAAGGUGUUAUUACAUUAUGACAGUUGGACGGUGACCAUGGAAGUCGGGACCCGCUAAGGAUCGUGUAACAACCCACCAACCGAAUGUAAUAGCCCUGAAAAUGGAUGGCGCUCAAGCGUCUCACCCAUACCUCGCCCUCAGGGUAGAAACGAUGCCCUGAGGAGUAGGCGGACGUGGGGGUCGUGACGAAGCCUAGGGCG
rnacentral:rRNA from 1 species